AAACCUCAAUCAGGUAAUGACAUUGGAAGUAUGAGUUUACAAUUCAAAAGCAACCAUGAAUCUAAAGCAUGAGUUUACAAACAAUGUAAAAACAACCAUGUUCAAUCUAGAUCAGAAACAUCAUACAAACUGAAUUGGGUUUUCAUUAUCUUCAUCUUUCCUCUUCUUCACCAUUGCUGCAAAAAAAAGCACAGGAAUAAUGUGAAACUAAUGACUAGAAAACUUGAUUUGUGAAACUAGCUAGCAGCAAAUUUGAAAUAUUCAUAACCUCAGAAUCACGGUGCAAAUCAUUGUGGAAUUUAAUUUGUAACGAGACUGAGAGCUUCCAGCUGAAAUCGAAAACCUUAAACCAGAAAACGAAACUGAAAACGAAAACCCUAAACCAGAAACGAAACUGAAAUCGAAAACCCUAAACCAGAAAACCAAACUGAUAUCGAAACCUAACGAAAUCAAAAUCGACAGUGACGAAAGAGGUUUACAUGGACAAGCCGAUGUCGAGUUCUCUGAAGGAAGAAGUCUAACGAACGAGAUGACGACGAGAUGGACAGAACCAGACCGACGAGCGGGACAGAAUCAGACCGACGAGCUACGAGGAAGAGGUCGGGCGAGCACUACUGUUCGUUCCUUCGUAGAGGAUGGAGGUCCAACCAGCCAAGUUCUUCCCAGUCGAUGAAUUUGGUUGCUGGGAGUUCUCGAUCUUGGUUGUUGGGGCUAGGCGUGGCGACGGGUAGAUUCAGGGAUGGUUAUUACCCAUUCGUUUUUGUGACGAUUAUUUAAUCAUAACCAUUUCUGUUUCUAUUUCGGUUAUACAAUUAGAACAUCACGAUACCUAUAUAGUUAACUGUUAUAAU
rnacentral:lncRNA from 1 species